rnacentral:rRNA from 1 species
UACGAAGGGGGGCUAGCGUUGCUCGGAAUCACUGGGCGUAAAGGGUGCGUAGGCGGGUCUUUAAGUCAGGGGUGAAAUCCUGGAGCUCAACUCCAGAACUGCCUUUGAUACUGAGGAUCUUGAGUUCGGGAGAGGUGAGUGGAACUGCGAGUGUAGAGGUGAAAUUCGUAGAUAUUCGCAAGAACACCAGUGGCGAGGGCGGCUCACUGGCCCGAUACUGACGCUGAGGCGCGAAAGCUAGGGGAGCAAACAGGG